rnacentral:lncRNA from 10 species
AGCAUUUUGACAUGUGGGUCAGGGUUCUCUGGGUCAUACUGUCAUGUUUUGAACUCUUUUCUGUUGGAGAAAAUUUUACUAUUUUUUCAAACCCAAUCAAUAGUAUGGUAUAGUCUUGUUUAAAUGUCACAUAAUCGCACUGAAGAAACAUCUAAAGGAGAAAAAAAGAACUACCUUUAGCCUCACAACCUUCACCCUAUAACUGACUUCCCUUUUGCUUUUUCUCUUCUGGCCCUUGUCCAUGUGCACACAUAAUUUUGCUUGGUUGUAAUGAGAAGACACAUACAAUUUUGUAUUAAAGCAAUAAAGUUUUAAUGAUGUAUAGAUAUACAAAGAAAAUAGCUAUAAAGCAAUAUUUAUGCAGGUUUGUAGGGGAAAAAUCCAUUUUAAAGGAGACAGUAUGGAAUAAUAGAA